AAAUAUUGUGAACACCAACUACUCUAAUUCUUCCUAUUUUUUUGUUCUGUAACAACUAGAAAGUGAUCAUACUUUCAUUCUAAUGGAAACUUCCGUGUACCAGCUAAGUUAGUUGUAUAAUGAAGCAAAGCCUGAUCAUGCAGUAUUGAAUGAAGUGCUUUUCACCUGCCCAAUUUACAAGCCACACUAAAUAAUCGAAUAUUCAAAUUCACAAAUGGGUGUGGAAAAAGAGUGCUUAAUUUUUUAAGUCCCACAUGCUCAGAAGAUGAGUCAGAUUAGCGAUAUAUUAAAGACAGUGCUUACGAUAAAAAGUACGAGUUAAGAAGCAAAUCAAGAAUACGACAAGAACAUAAUCUGGCGGGCUGAACAAAUAAUCAGUAUUAAGUGGAGAAGCCACCAACAUUAGAAAAAAAAAGUUAACGAUUUUGUGGGUUGUGCACAAAGUUUUCAAUUAUUGACACAUUAACAAUCAGGAAAGCAGCUGCUAUUUUAAUCUUAAGUGUUCUUUCUUCGCUUUUGGGGUGUAAUCGGGCGGACAUGUGUCCCGUACCCAGCUACAUGGUACCACACUAACAAAGAUUUUGGUAAAUAUAUGACCAUCAUAAGAUUGAUAAUAAAUAUUUUGUAUAUAAGCAUACUAACAGAAACCAAUUCUGGUUAUAGAAGAAUAUAACAGAAACUAUGCAUGAGAAAGAUGGUCAAAAUAUAAGCUCUUCAAACUUGAAUCCAAUACAAUGUCCAAAUUAAUGAGGUCUACUUACAUUACAGUACUCUAUCAUUCAUAGGAAGAUCCAAAAUGUGCAUAAUCUCGUAGAUAAAUUUGUUUGAAAAUUAUGUGCCCCAGUGUCCACAUCACAAUUCAGAAUAAGUUAUCAGGAUUUAAACGAAAUGAUAAUAAUAAUAAAAGCGCAUGAAAAAAUAGCUAACUUAAGUUUUUAACUGUGUAUAUACAUAUUAUAAACAGAUUAUAGUAUACAAACUCUGUAAUCUGAUCCAUUUACAACAAAUAACUCAAGCUUACAGUAAGAUUAUAACUAAUGCAAUAAAUUAUCACUACUAUAUAUCCCAUUUCCCCCCAAAUUGAGUAGCCAUUACUACAAACAAACAGUUCAAAAUCAAAGAAAAAGGGAACAGUGAACAAUCAACAUCAUUUCGAUUCAACUACACUGAACGGUUUAAAACAAGCAGAGCAUAGAUCAUCUAUAGCACAAUCCUACUACACCAAUAUCAAGGAUCAAAACGUAAACAAAACAAUAAUGCAGCGAAAACGAAAAAAAGGAGUCGAUUACUCACGGAGGAGUUAGGGUUUCGGUUUCUCUCUCGAAGCGGCGAAAAAUCGAGGACGAGAGGCAACAAAUGGGCUGUGUAGUAGUAAC
rnacentral:lncRNA from 1 species